rnacentral:lncRNA from 1 species
CAUGAAUCAUGUGACGGUGGCUUGAGGAGGAACCUGUCUUUAAAGCUGUCCCUGAAGUGACAGCGGAGAGAACCAGGCAGCCCAGAAACCCCAGGCGUGGAGAUUGAUCCUGCGAGAGAAGGGGGUUCAUCAUGGCGGAUGACCUAAAGCGAUUCUUGUAUAAAAAGUUACCAAGUGUUGAAGGGCUCCAUGCCAUUGUUGUGUCAGAUAGAGAUGGAGUACCUGUUAUUAAAGACCAAGGAAGCAAACUUGGACUUUCCAAAAAUAAAAGUAUCAUCUGUUACUAUAACACCUACCAGGUGGUUCAAUUUAAUCGUUUACCUUUGGUGGUGAGUUUCAUAGCCAGCAGCAGUGCCAAUACAGGACUAAUUGUCAGCCUAGAAAAGGAACUUGCUCCAUUGUUUGAAGAACUGAGACAAGUUGUGGAAGUUUCUUAAUCUGACAGUGGUUUCAGUGUGUACCUUAUCUUCAUUAUAACAACACAAUAUCAAUCCAGCAAUCUUUAGACUACAAUAAUACUUUUAUCCAUGUGCUCAAGAAAGGGCCCCUUUUUCCAACUUAUACUAAAGAGCUAGCAUAUAGAUGUAAUUUAUAGAUAGAUCAGUUGCUAUAUUUUCUGGUGUAGGGUCUUUCUUAUUUAGUGAGAUCUAGGGAUACCACAGAAAUGGUUCAGUCUAUCACAGCUCCCAUGGAGUUAGUCUGGUCACCAGAUAUGGAUGAGAGAUUCUAUUCAGUGGAUCAGAAUCAAACUGGUACAUUGAUCCACUUGAGCCGUUAAGUGCUGCCAAUUGUACAAUAUGCCCAGGCUUGCAGAAUAAAGCCAACUUUUUAUUGUGAAUAAUAAUAAGGACAUAUUUUUCUUCAGAUUAUGUUUUAUUUCUUUGCAUUGAGUGAGGAACAUAAAAUGGCUUGGUAAAAGUAAUAAAAUCAGUACAAUC